GAGAAGUAUGCUGGCAUGAAAGAGGCCUUUGCGGAGGAUACUCUAGUUGGUUCAGCCAUGGCAGGACCCAGUAAGGAGUGCCAUCCAAGAUGAGAAGAGAAAAGCCACUAGCACUCCCAGUCCCCACCCCUGAGAUGGAAUAAUGGGGGUCGAAAUCGUUGAUCCCGGAGUCCUUCGAGAAUGGUUCGACGACCAUCAGUCAAUAGAUCCGUACUCUCUGGCA
rnacentral:lncRNA from 1 species